GAUGAACGCUGGCGGCGUGCCUAAUACAUGCAAGUCGAGCGAACGGACGAGAAGCUUGCUUCUCUGAUGUUAGCGGCGGACGGGUGAGUAACACGUGGAUAACCUACCUAUAAGACUGGGAUAACUUCGGGAAACCGGAGCUAAUACCGGAUAAUAUUUUGAACCGCAUGGUUCAAAAGUGAAAGACGGUCUUGCUGUCACUUAUAGAUGGAUCCGCGCUGCAUUAGCUAGUUGGUAAGGUAACGGCUUACCAAGGCAACGAUGCAUAGCCGACCUGAGAGGGUGAUCGGCCACACUGGAACUGAGACACGGUCCAGACUCCUACGGGAGGCAGCAGUAGGGAAUCUUCCGCAAUGGGCGAAAGCCUGACGGAGCAACGCCGCGUGAGUGAUGAAGGUCUUCGGAUCGUAAAACUCUGUUAUUAGGGAAGAACAUAUGUGUAAGUAACUGUGCACAUCUUGACGGUACCUAAUCAGAAAGCCACGGCUAACUACGUGCCAGCAGCCGCGGUAAUACGUAGGUGGCAAGCGUUAUCCGGAAUUAUUGGGCGUAAAGCGCGCGCAGGCGGUUUUUUAAGUCUGAUGUGAAAGCCCACGGCUCAACCGUGGAGGGUCAUUGGAAACUGGAAAACUUGAGUGCAGAAGAGGAAAGUGGAAUUCCAUGUGUAGCGGUGAAAUGCGCAGAGAUAUGGAGGAACACCAGUGGCGAAGGCGACUUUCUGGUCUGUAACUGACGCUGAUGUGCGAAAGCGUGGGGAUCAAACAGGAUUAGAUACCCUGGUAGUCCACGCCGUAAACGAUGAGUGCUAAGUGUUAGGGGGUUUCCGCCCCUUAGUGCUGCAGCUAACGCAUUAAGCACUCCGCCUGGGGAGUACGACCGCAAGGUUGAAACUCAAAGGAAUUGACGGGGACCCGCACAAGCGGUGGAGCAUGUGGUUUAAUUCGAAGCAGCGCGAAGAACCUUACCAAAUCUUGACAUCCUUUGACAACUCUAGAGAUAGAGCCUUCCCCUUCGGGGGACAAAGUGACAGGUGGUGCAUGGUUGUCGUCAGCUCGUGUCGUGAGAUGUUGGGUUAAGUCCCGCAACGAGCGCAACCCUUAAGCUUAGUUGCCAUCAUUAAGUUGGGCACUCUAAGUUGACUGCCGGUGACAAACCGGAGGAAGGUGGGGAUGACGUCAAAUCAUCAUGCCCCUUAUGAUUUGGGCUACACACGUGCUACAAUGGACAAUACAAAGGGCAGCGAAACCGCGAGGUCAAGCAAAUCCCAUAAAGUUGUUCUCAGUUCGGAUUGUAGUCUGCAACUCGACUACAUGAAGCUGGAAUCGCUAGUAAUCGUAGAUCAGCAUGCUACGGUGAAUACGUUCCCGGGUCU
rnacentral:rRNA from 1 species